UAAUACGAAGGGUGCAAGCGUUGUUCGGAAUUAUUGGGCGUAAAGAGUGAUAAGGCGGAUCUUCAAGUCAGGUGUGAAAUCUCGGGGCCUAACCCCGAAAGUGCGCCUGAAACUAGAGAUCUGGAGUGAUGCAGGGGAGAGGGGAAUUUCACGUGUAGGGGUAAAAUCCGUAGAGAUGUGAAGGAACACCUGAGGCGAAGGCGCCUCUCUGGGCAUUUACUGACGCUGAUUCACGAAAGCGUGGGGAGCAAACAGG
rnacentral:rRNA from 1 species